GUGCUCGGUUCGGCAGUACAUGUUCUAAAAUUGGAAUGAUACAGAGAGAAGGUAGCAUGGCCCCUACACAAGGAAGCUACAAACUCAUGAAGAGGCCCAUAAAAAAGCA